UACGGGAGGCAGCAGUGAGGAAUAUUGGUCAAUGGGCGAGAGACUGAACCAGCCAAGUAGCGUGCAGGAUGACGGCCCUAUGGGUUGUAAACUGCUUUUAUGCGGGGAUAAAGUGCGGCACGUGUGCCGUUUUGUAGGUACCGCAUGAAUAAGGACCGGCUAAUUCCGUGCCAGCAGCCGCGGUAAU
rnacentral:rRNA from 1 species